rnacentral:piRNA from 1 species
UGACUUCUCUCCGAUGCCAGAUGAUGU